UACGUACCGUCCAAACGUUAUUCGGAAUUACUGGGCUUAAAGGGUACGUAGGCGGCGCUGUUAGUCGGGUGUGACAUCCCUCGGCUCAACCGAGGAAUUGCGCCCGAUACUGUAGUGCUUGAGGGAGACAGAGGUAAGCGGAACUGAUGGUGGAGCGGUGAAAUGCGUUGAUAUCCUAAGGAAUACCCGUGGCGAAAGCGGCUCACUGGGUCUCUUCUGACGCUGAGGCACGAAAGCUAGGGUAGCGAACGGG
rnacentral:rRNA from 1 species